CGUGGAGGUCCGAACUCACUGCAGUUGAAAAUGCAGGGGUAUGAGGUGUGGUCGGAGUGAAAGGCUAAUCAAACCGGGAGAUUAGCUGGUUCUCGCCGAAAGAUAUUUAGGUAUCGCCUCGAGAAACUCUGUCGAGGAGGUAGAGCACUGGAUGGGCUAGGGGUCUUACCAGAUUACCAAACCCAACCAAACUCCUAAUGCCUCGACAUUUACCUCGGGAGUCAGGCUGUGGGAGCUAAGUUCCAUGGCCAAAAGGGAAAGAGCCCAGACCGCCAGCUAAGGUCCCUAAGUCGUUGCUAAGUGGGAAAGGAUGUGGAAGCACACAGACAACCAGGAGGUUGGCUUAGAAGCAGCCAUCCUUUAAAGAAAGCGUAAUAGCUCACUGGUCAAGUGAAUCCGCGCCAAAAAAUUUAACGGGGCUUAAGUAACGCACCGAAGCUGCGGGUUGAUUUAUCAGCGG
rnacentral:rRNA from 1 species